CCUACGGGCGGCUUCAGUGAGGAAUAUUGGUCAAUGGCCGGAAGGCUGAACCAGCCAAGCCGCGUGAGGGAGGAAGGCGCAGAGCGUCGCAGACCUCUUUUGCCGGGGGACAAAAGGCCGGACUCGUCCGGUCCUGAGGGUACCCGGAGAAAAAGCAUCGGCUAACUCCGUGCCAGCAGCCGCGGUAAUACGGAGGAUGCGAGCGUUAUCCGGAUUCAUUGGGUUUAAAGGGUGCGCAGGCGGGCCUUUAAGCCGGCGGGGAAAUCGCGGGGCGCAACCCCGCCGAGCCGUCGGGACUGGGGGGCUUGAGGGCGGCGGAGGGAUGCGGAAUGCGGGGUGGAGCGGUGAAAUGGAAAGAUA
rnacentral:rRNA from 1 species